UUUUUGGUGUAGAUACCAUGGGCAAUCCGCAGCGAAGCCUCUAAGUCCGGCCGCCGGAUAUGAGGAACGUUCACAGACUAAGUGGAAGUGGGUGGAGCGUUCGCCGCUCUGCUUAAGAUAUAGUCGGUCCCCUUGGGAAACUAAGGGGGUGAGUACACUGCUCGAAAUUUAAACUUGAGCGCAUCUCGGAUAGCGCUCGUGUUAGAAUUUCGGGACCGUCGAUUGCCUCGCGGUUCGACGGCUCUUAAAACGUUCCGUAGGUGAACCUGCGGAAGGAUCAUUACAGAAAGUAAACGCGGAUCAAACCGCGAACUUUUAAACCUUUGACGAUUGACUCAUGUUGCCUCGGCGGGUUCUCUCGCCAGAGGAUACAUCAAAACUCCUGUUUUAACGGUGUUGUCUGAGCUACAAGCAACGAAUCAAAACUUUCAACAACGGAUCUCUUGGUUCUGGCAUCGAUGAAGAACGCAGCGAAAUGCGAUAAGUAGUGUGAAUUGCAGAAUUCAGUGAAUCAUCGAAUCUUUGAACGCACAUUGCGCCCCUUGGUAUCCCGAGGGGCAUGCCUGUUCGAGCGUCAUUUCACCACUCAAGCCUGGCUUGGUGUUGGGCGACGUCCCCUUCAGGGACGCGCCUCGAAACGCUCGGCGGCGUGGCACCGGCUUUAAGCGUAGCAGAAUCUUUCGCUUCAAAAGUUGGGGCCCCGUCUGCCGGAAGACCUACUCGCAAGGUUGACCUCGGAUCAGGCAGGGAUACCCGCUGAACUUAAGCAUAUCAAUAAGCGGAGGAA
rnacentral:misc_RNA from 1 species